rnacentral:rRNA from 1 species
UCCUGGCUCAGGACGAACGCUGGCGGCGUGCCUAAUACAUGCAAGUCGAGCGGAGUUGAUGAGGUGCUUGCACCUCUGAUACUUAGCGGCGGACGGGUGAGUAACACGUGGGUAACCUGCCUGUAAGACUGGGAUAACAUUCGGAAACGAAUGCUAAUACCGGAUACGCGAUUUGGUCGCAUGACCGAAUCGGGAAAGAUGGAGCAAUCUAUCACUUACAGAUGGACCCGCGGCGCAUUAGCUAGUUGGUGAGGUAACGGCUCACCAAGGCGACGAUGCGUAGCCGACCUGAGAGGGUGAUCGGCCACACUGGGACUGAGACACGGCCCAGACUCCUACGGGAGGCAGCAGUAGGGAAUCUUCCGCAAUGGACGAAAGUCUGACGGAGCAACGCCGCGUGAGUGAUGAAGGUUUUCGGAUCGUAAAGCUCUGUUGCCAGGGAAGAAUGCUUGGGAGAGUAACUGCUCUCAAGGUGACGGUACCUGAGAAGAAAGCCCCGGCUAACUACGUGCCAGCAGCCGCGGUAAUACGUAGGGGGCAAGCGUUGUCCGGAAUUAUUGGGCGUAAAGCGCGCGCAGGCGGCCUUGUAAGUCUGUUGUUUAAACUUGGGGCUC